rnacentral:misc_RNA from 1 species
AACAAGGCGUACCUGCGGACCUGCGGAAGGAUCAUUACCAGAGUGCCUUCAGGCUCUCCAACCCAUUGUGAACAUACCUACGUUCCCCCGGCGGGCCCAGCGCGCGGCGAGGUCUCCCUCGCCCCGCGUCCGCCGAGGGCACCUCAAACCCGAUUUUACGUCGUGUCUUCUGAGGGGCGAAAGCCCGUAAAACAAAAUGAAUCAAAACUUUCAACAAUGGAUCUCAGAUCGGAAGAGCAC